UAACGGGAGGCUGCAGUGGGGAAUAUUGCACAAUGGAGGAAACUCUGAUGCAGCAACGCCGCGUGGAGGAUGACACUUUUCGGAGCGUAAACUCCUUUUAUAUAGGAAGAAGAUGACGGUACUAUAUGAAUAAGCGCCGGCUAACUCCGUGCCAGCAGCCGCGGUAAUACGGAGGGCGCAAGCGUUACUCGGAAUCACUGGGCGUAAAGAGCGUGUAGGCGGAUUAAAAAGUCAGAAGUGAAAUCCUAUAGCUUAACUAUAGAACUGCUUCUGAAACUCUUAAUCUAGAAUAUGGGAGAGGUAGAUGGAAUUUCUGGUGUAGGGGUAAAAUCCGUAGAGAUCAGAAGGAAUACCGAUUGCGAAGGCGAUCUACUAGAACAUUAUUGACGCUGAGACGCGAAAGCGUGGGGAGCAAACAGGAUUAGAUACCCCUGUAGUC
rnacentral:rRNA from 1 species